rnacentral:rRNA from 1 species
GACGGAGGGUGCAAGCGUUGUUCGGAAUUACUGGGCGUAAAGCGCGUGUAGGCGGCUAGCUAAGUCUGAUGUGAAAGCCCGGGGCUCACCCCCGGAAGUGCAUUGGAAACUGGCGAGCUCGAGUCCCGGAGAGGAGGGUGGAAUUCCUGGUGUAGCGGUGAAAUGCGUAGAUAUCUGAAGGAACAUCAGUGGCGAAAGCGACUUCCUGGACCAAUACUGACGCUCAUGUGCGAAAGCGUGGGGAGCAAACAGG